AGUCCGUGGGAGGGACGCGGCCGCUUGCCACCGGCUGCUGUUGACGUCGGCGCCCCCGGGCUCCCCGGGCUGGCAGCGAGCGGCGCGGCCCCAGAGACGCCCGCGGAUCUCUCGGCUUUAGGGCGCCGCCCAGACCUGAGCGGGCGGCCGCUCUUCCCUCCCAGCUCCUCUCUAUGGUCGCAGGUCCCAGUUCCCGCCGCCCACUCCCGUUCGUCACGUGGGCAGCGGUUUCCGGCGGGGACUCGCCGUGGCUGGAGCCGGGAGGUGGCGGACGCUCGCCGCGUGGGUCGAGCUUCAAAAUGACUAAAAAGAGGAAACACCAAGAGGAUUUCCAAAAGGUGAAGCUAAAAGUUGGAAAAAAGAAGCCUAGACUAGAAAAUGCAACUGAUACAAACUUCAAAACGAAGGCCAUACAUCUUCCUGAACAGCUUAAAGAGGAUGGAAUACUUCCCACGAACAAUAGAAAACUUAACAUAAAGGAUCUGCUUUCACAGAUGCAUCACUAUAGUGCCGGAGUUAAGCAAAGUGCUCUUCUUGGGCUCAAAGAACUGCUGUCCCAGUAUCCAUUUAUAAUUGAUGCACACCUUUCAAAUAUACUAAGUGAGGUGGCAGCUGUAUUUACAGACAAGGACUCUGGUGUCAGAGUAGCAGCAAUCCGGCUCCUUCAGUUCUUGGCUCCAAAAAUCCGAGCCGAGCAGAUUGCUCCAUUUUUUCCUUUGGUAAGUGCCCACCUCUCCAGUGCCAUGACUCAUAUCAGUGAAGGAAUUCAGGAGGAUUCUUUAAAGGUCUUGGACAUCUUGUUGGAAGAGUACCCAGUCCUCCUUACUAAUCGCUGUAGUAUAUUGCUGAAGAAUUUUGUAGAGCUUAUUUCUCACCAGCAGUUGUCAAAAAACCUGAAAAGUAGAGAGAAAAUAUCCUGGAUGCUGUCUGUUAACCCUAACCGCAGAGUAACUUCACAGCAAUGGAGGCUGAAUGUACUGAUCAGAUUCAAGAAGUUUCUCCAAGCAUUGGUAGAUGGUUCCAGUGGAUCAGAAGAAGAUGAAGAGAUCCAGGAGCAAAAGGAGAACUCCCAGUUCAUGAGGAACUCAGUAUGUAUAAGCUGGAAGGAGCAUGCCAGUAAUCAGCAGCACAUCCAGCUAUAUGAAAAUGGUGGGUCACAACCAAGGAUCAAUUCAGCAUUCAGACUAAGGUCCCUGGUAAGCGUGACAGACAGAGUGGAAAAAGGCCUGUCCUCUGCUGAAAAUUUAAAAGGGUUUAUUGAGAUAAUAAUUCCAAUAUUGAUUGAGUGCUGGAUUGAAGCGUCUCCUGCACAACUUGCUGCUCCCAUUCUUGGAAAUCUUUUGGAACCUGAAUCUCAACAGCUAAUGCAACAAGUGCUUAGUAUCAUAUACUUGCUGUGGAAACUCACAAAGCAACAUGACGAAACGCACAAAAUGGAGGCAUGGCUUCGAAUGAAUUACCUUGUUGAUUUCAAGCAUCACUUCAUGCGUCAUUUUCCUUAUUCUUUACAAGAAACAAUUAAGCACAAAAAGAGAGAUCCAUACAAAAGCACCAAGUACUGUAUGACAUCGUCAAACAGCGUAGACCAUCUUUUAUUGAAUUUAACCCUGUGUGACAUUAUGGUUUCACUGGCAAGUGCUUCAACACUUCAAAUGGAUUCUGACUGGCUGGGUAUGAUAAGAAAGUUUGUGACCGAAACCCUUCAGCAUGGCUGCAGAUUGAACUGCAAGCAGUUGAACAGAUUGCUUGGAGUGACAUGGAGACUAAUGCAAAUACAACGAAACAAAGUGGCAAUGGAGACUUUGAUAAAAGCAGUAUAUACACUGUACCAGCAGAGGAAUCUCCUCUUUCCUGUUCGUAUGUUGCUUUUGAAAUUUUUUAGCAGGGUUUAUCAGAAAGAAGAGUUGAGUGCUCAAAGAAUCAGGAGCCGAAGUAAAGUUUUAUCUCGUUGGCUGGCUGGCCUACCUCAGCAGCUUGCUCUCCUUGGUUCAAGAAAGCCUGAGCUUUCAAACCAGUUGAUUGAGACCAUUCAUUCUGCUGCAUCUCAUUCAAACAAGGAAUUGUUACAAAGUUUGCAAGCCACUGCUUCUCGAAUUUAUGAUCCACUAGAUGGCACUCUGGUUCUUCUUCCAGCAGAGUCACAGCAACGCUUAGUGCAGCUUGUAUACUUUCUACCAUGUUUACCAACUGACUUACUUUCUUCUCUAAGUCGCUGCUGCAUUAUGGGAAGAAUGUCUUCAGAUCUAGCUGCCACCCUCAUUGGGAUACUGCAUGUGAGAUCUUCCUUUGCUGGAUGGAAAUGCCAAGUGCAGGACAGUUCAGUGAACGAUGUGGACUACUUCAGCUUCUUGUUUUCGACACUUACAGGAUUCUCUAAAGAGGAGUUGACUAGCCUUCAGAGCAUUAGAGGAAAACCUCACAUUAGCCAGACACAGUUUUCAUCUGUCCAUCUCUACCUGACUGAUCUGGACCAAUUUUUACACCACUGGGCUGUGACAGAGGAAAGGAGAUCCAGAAGAUAAGGAGAGAGAAAGCAAAGAUCUCCACACUGGCCAAAGAAACCCUUGACCAUUGGCCUGUGGUAGACUUGGCAUUAGAACCUCCAUUGAAUCUAUAUGUGAGGCCAGACAUCUUCACCAAGAUCAUAUCUUCCAUCUAGACCCAGACUGUAUAUAACUGACCACAAGGCUAUUGAGAGGGAAGCACUAAUCGUGGUCUGACUAUCUUCAUGAAUGAUUGGGAUUCUAGUUUUGAAGUCUGUCUGAAGGAGAGUAAAAGCCUACUCUGUCUUCUGGACAAGGUUUAGCUUGUAGUGUCAAGGAAACGAUCCCCAAGGACCUUGGAAUUCCAGAUAUUCUGGACUUUCUUCAGGACGGUGUGGUCAAAGGACUCUAGCCCAGAUCUGUAGCACACUAGGGAUUGGCCAUAAGUUGUACUUUAUACGCAGGGUCCUUGGGUUCCUUGGCAGAGGAAUACUGAAAUUUCCCAAAGCAGUCAAACUGGCUAGACUUGUGGUCAGACCAGUCUUUCUGAAAUGGAUCUAGUUCUGGUGCUAAAAUCCCUAACAAUCCACCUGAACCAUUUACGUUGGUCACACCAUUCUACCUACCCAUAAAAACCUGUUUCUUGAUUGCUGUCACGUCUGCUGGAUGAGUGUUGGAGUGGCAGUUUUAUCCAUGCAGGAACCUUGUUCUGUGUUCCAUGAUGGCAAGAUAGUGUUAAGGACUUCAGAAUCUUUCUUGCUAAAGAAGAACUCAACUUUCCAUGCCUCGCAGGAGAUCAUCUUCCCGUUGUUCUAUCCAGAGACAUGGCAUCCUACAGAAAUGAUGUGACAUAAUCUGAAUGUUCAUAGAGUACUAAAGAUUGCCAUCCAGCCUACCACAUCAACAAGAAGAUUGGGCAUCAUGUUCAUAUCCUUACCCCAAAGAGUCAAUGGCUCUGGAUAUCCAAACUGUCUUUAGCCAGAUUAAUCAUAUUAUGCAUUGUAGAGGCAUGGAAUCAAAGUACACCGCACUGGGUCUUUGACAACGUCAUAGGCGGAAAGAGCCUGCAUGUCCUCUGCAGGGAUCUGCAGAGCAGCAACAUGGUCCUCUAUUAGUUCCUUCAUUAGACACUAUGAGUUGGACUUUCUGUCCUCUUCAGAGGAAUCCUUCAGCAGGAAGGUGGUAUGUCACAGCUUGUCCACUAUACCUUCACGAAGUCAGUGUUUUGACAUCCUCCAGAACGGUAUCUGUAAAUACCUGGU